UGGGGAAUAUUGCGCAAUGGGCGGAAGCCUGACGCAGCGACGCCGCGUGAGGGAUGACGGCCUUCGGGUUGUAAACCUCUUUCAGCUCUGACGAAGCGUGAGUGACGGUAGGAGCAGAAGAAGCACCGGCCAACUACGUGCCAGCAGCCGCGGUAAUACGUAGGGUGCAAGCGUUGUCCGGAAUUAUUGGGCGUAAAGAGCUCGUAGGCGGUUUGUCGCGUCGAAUGUGAAAUCCCGGGGCUCAACCCCGGGUCUGCAUUCGAUACGGGCAGACUAGAGUUCGGUAGGGGAGUCUGGAAUUCCUGGUGUAGCGGUGAAAUGCGCAGAUAUCAGGAGGAACACCGGUGGCGAAGGCGGGACUCUGGGCCGAUACUGACGCUGAGGAGCGAAAGCGUGGGGAGCAAACA
rnacentral:rRNA from 1 species